GAGCGCAGCCCGGCGCCGCUCAGAGCCGCGGCAGCCGGGAGCGGGGCGGCUGCUUCUCCCUCUCCGCCCCGAGGAGGAGGAAGAGGAGGAAGAAGAGGCUCCGACCGCCGCCUCGCCGUUCCUCUCACCCUUUCCCCCUUCCUCCCCACACCUUUAUGGACGAGCGCCGGAGCUUGCUGCACUCUCCGGCCGCCUCCUCCGCCGGCCGGCCCCCCAGCAGCAGCCACCACAACCUGGGCUACACCGAGCAGCCGCCCCCCGGCGCCCCGCAGCCGCCCCCCGGCCACGAGGAGGAAGAGGGCGAGGAGGCGGAGGAAGGCAGCAUGACGGUGGUGGGGGGCGCCGGGGACCCUUUGCCGGAGGAACCGCAGCAUCCGCACCCAUUGCUGGGGGGGGAACGCUACGAGCACCCCGCGCCGCCCGCCGCCGGCCCCGCGGGGCACCCGGCGGAGGUCAGCGGAGAGCACGAGUGCUGCGAGCGGGUGGUGAUCAACAUCUCGGGGCUGCGCUUCGAGACUCAGCUCAAAACGUUGGCGCAGUUCCCCGAGACGCUGCUGGGGGACCCCCGCAAAAGGAUGCGUUACUUCGACCCCCUGCGCAACGAGUAUUUUUUCGACCGUAACCGGCCCAGCUUCGACGCCAUCCUCUAUUACUACCAGUCCGGAGGGCGCAUCCGACGACCCGUCAAUGUCCCCAUUGAUAUCUUCUCCGAGGAGAUUCGCUUCUACCAGCUGGGGGAGGAGGCCAUGGAGAAGUUCCGGGAGGAUGAGGGUUUCAUACGGGAGGAGCAGCGGCCGCUCCCUGAGAAGGAGUUCCAGCGCCAGGUGUGGCUGCUCUUUGAGUACCCCGAGAGCUCCGGGCCGGCCCGAGGCAUCGCCAUCGUCUCCGUCCUGGUCAUCCUCAUCUCUAUUGUCAUCUUCUGCCUGGAGACCCUGCCUGAGUUCAGGGAUGACCACGACUAUGAGGGAACCGGGGGGACCUUUGGGACGGGUGGUGGCCCUCUCCCACCCGACGUCUUCACCAAUUCCUCGUCCUCGGCUGUUUCCAUGGUGUCGUCCUUCACCGACCCUUUCUUCGUGGUGGAGACUUUGUGCAUCAUCUGGUUCUCCUUUGAGCUGCUGGUGCGCUUCUUUGCCUGUCCCAGCAAGGCCACCUUCUCCAAGAACAUCAUGAACAUCAUUGACAUUGUGGCCAUCAUUCCCUACUUCAUCACGCUGGGCACCGAGCUGGCAGAGAGGCAAGGCAACGGCCAGCAAGCCAUGUCCUUGGCCAUCCUCCGAGUCAUCCGCUUGGUGCGGGUCUUCCGGAUCUUCAAGCUGUCCCGGCACUCCAAGGGGCUGCAGAUCCUGGGGCAGACCCUCAAGGCCAGCAUGCGGGAGCUGGGCUUGCUCAUCUUCUUCCUCUUCAUCGGUGUCAUCCUCUUCUCCAGCGCCGUCUACUUCGCCGAGGCCGAUGACCCCAGUUCAGGUUUCAGCAGCAUCCCCGACGCCUUCUGGUGGGCGGUGGUGACCAUGACCACAGUGGGCUAUGGGGACAUGCACCCCAUCACCAUCGGGGGCAAGAUCGUGGGGUCUCUGUGUGCCAUCGCGGGGGUGCUGACCAUCGCUCUGCCCGUGCCCGUCAUAGUCUCCAAUUUCAACUAUUUCUACCACCGGGAGACAGAAGGUGAGGAGCAAGCCCAGUACAUGCAUGUUGGGAGCUGCCAGCACCUCUCAUCUACCGAAGAGAUGAGGAAGGCACGCAGCAAUUCCACCCUCAGCAAAUCCGAGUACAUGGUGAUAGAGGAGGGGGGAAUCAACCACAGUGCAUUCAAACAGGCUGCCUUUAAGACAGGCAACUGCACAACCACAAACAAUCCCAACUGUGUGAACAUCAAAAAGAUCUUUACGGACGUUUAAUAAACACAGAGAGGCAGCGAAGCCUGAGGAUGUGGUAAAAGAAAAAUAAUAACAAUGAUGCAAAAGUGACCGUGUGUACUUGGUGUUGUGUGGAACAUGCACCAUCGUCCGUCUGUGUGCGCCCUUGGUUUUAUACCUUUAUUUUUGUAGAUCUUUUUUCUUUUUUCUUUUUUUUUUCCUUUCUAAAGAUCCGAAAGGGAUUUAAAAUUCUCCAAAGAAAAGAGGACGGCCGAUGGGUACGGAGAAGGAGAAUGAAGACAAAUGGCACCGCUGGAGCAGGUGUCUGUUCUGCAACGUGUUGCAGGGCUGCCUUUGUUUCCUGGCUUUUGGGGACGUCUCGCUUUGCUCCUGGUUUGCUCCCCCUUCCCUGCAGGCGGUGCGGAGCCCAUUUCCCUUCCAUCACAUAAGCUCACUUGUUGGAUUAGCAGCCCCGGAUUGGGUGGGGAGACGAGGAAAACAUGUUGCCGAGCGCUGGAAGGGGGCUGGGAGGAAACAAGCCUGUAAUUUCUCAGUCUCUGCUACCACGUUUUAGUGCUGGGAGGUGGUGUGCCCUUGGGGACGCACUGCAGAUCCCCUUUUCUCCCCCGAUAGAUCACUCACGACCUUCUUGUCUGAUCGGAAGCCGAGCGCAAUCAGUUCAGACUAAAACCCGACCCCCUUCCUUUCUAUCCUUAAUUCCCUUCCCCUGCAGCCCCGGGCGUGAUUUCACCCAGCGCAGGAUCUGGGGGUCCGUGUGCUGCGGAGGGCGGAGCGGGAUGGGGUGGGUGCACGAGGGCUGUGGCUCUGAGCUGCCGAGCUGCAGACAAAGGGAUGUUUCCACCUUUUGCACCGCGGCUGGGAGAGAUGCAGCUGCUCAUGGCAAGGAGAUUGAAGUGGUGAGCACGCCUUCCAGCGGAAGUCACUAAUUCGGACCGGAGUGAUGCAGUUGCUAUGGCGACCCUGGUUUCCUGGGAAACCCCAAAAGGUUGUCAUGGCAUCCCUUCUCCCAUCCCCCCCCCCUCGGCCCUCACCCUUCCCUCCAAAGCCCUUCCAGAUGGUUCCAGCCCCACCACCCCACGGCUCUGCACCGCACAGGGAUCCCAUCCUGCACCCCCAUCCACGCCCCAUCCUACAGCCCAUCCCCGCACCCAAACACCCACCCGUAGGCAAUAAGCACUCCCCAGAUCCCCUUCUCCCUCUCAAAGGAGUUCACACCUUGGCAGUGAGAUUUGGGAGCCUGCAAACAUGAGUGGAGAAAGGACCACGCUCAGCUCACCUGGAGCACAACCCCAAAGUGUCCUCCAAGGGCAGAAAUGAAAGCUCAGCCGGGAAAGCUCGGCAGCCUUUGGAAACCAGGGGGACAAAUGCAGAGCUAGAAAGAGCAAGAUUGCAAUGUAAGCCCAAAGCCGCCAGGGAAAAUGUGCCUCCUUCAUCCUUCCGUGCACACCGGGGGCUGCAGGACAUCUGAUGGGAUCAGAGAGCAGAAAAGCUUCAGUGUGAGAGCUUCAGGACUGCGCUUGGGGAUGAGACACCUCCAAAGGAGAUGGCACCCACUGAUGGAUGGAGCUCCAACCCCGACCUGCUCCUCGCUUCAUCCACGUCUUCUCACAAAUGCAAUACGGAUGGGAGGUUCUUUUGUGCAAUGUGAUGAGACAGCACGAAGCCAGGAGGAAAAAAAAGCCGGACGGAGGUGGAAAUGGGUUGGGUGUUAUUGCAGGGUUUGGGGUUUUGUUGUUUUGUUUUCUUUUCUUGUUAUAAAGAAACUCUUGGAAGGUUGAGCAAUCGGAAGGGGAAUGCUGAGCAGAGCCACCGUUGGGCUGCCCAAGUGUUCUGCUUGGGGUGGGAGCAAAGUGGGGGCACGUGGGCUGCUCCCAGUGCUCCCAGUGACACGGGCUGGUUUUGGCCAUAGGAAGUGAACAAGAUCUGUUCUAUUUUUUCUGGCUUUCCUGUAGAUGCUCUUUAUAAAUAGGUACGUGCUGCACCAAAGGCAUCCCUCCCUGCCUCCUGCAAUGGGAGCCAUGUCCUCCCACCAGGCUGCAGCUCCCCAGCACUGGAAUGAAUGCCAAAAGCUGUUCAGUGUCUGGGGGUGAGGGCUGACCCCAUUUCCAUCCCUGUGAGCCUUGAAUAACCCAACGGUGCUCUCCUCCCAUUGCGGUGGAUGGAGCUCGGAGGGCUCUGUGCUCCGUGUCACAUCCAGCCCUGCAAAGCAGCUGUGAAGCGAUGGGUUUGCAGCCUUCCUGCAGCACUUAUCCUGGUCCUGAGGGCGCAAAGGGAUCGAACAAACAAACCUGCAGUGAUCCCAUAGGGGGGAGCAACCGUCUGCCUGCAGGGGGGUCGGGGCUGCAGACAGCCCAGCACCCCAUGAGAUGGGACCCAGCACCCUCAGCACCCCCUGUGGGCAGGAGGAGAGCUGAUUUCCUCUCGGGAAGCCCUGAUCCCAGAGGUGUUGAAUUUAGUUUCUUUUGGAACAUUAAACAGUAGCCCUUAAAAGUGGGGAUAGAAUGUAUCAGUACUAAAGUUAUUUUUCUUUCUCACCUCUGUGUUACCCAGAGAUUUUUUUAUGAGAUAGGUGUGUGUGCGCACCGUGGUUGUGCCUCAUCCGUUUUCAAUGAGCUCUGUGUUAAAGCGUCUCUCUGCUUGGGGUUGGAUGGGAUGGGAAGAGCAGAGCCCUUUUGCUGGGCUCUGAAGCAGUGAUGCCCCAAUGGGUGCCAGCAGCUCUGCUCCCCAAACCUCACCUUCCCCACGGACACCCCGAGUGUCCCCAUCCAUUGCAGGCAGUUGGACCACAUGGCCUCUAAGGGUCCCUUCCAACUCCAUUCCAUGACUCUGUGAUGUCUCCAACUCGUGGAAAUCACCAAAUUUCAACCUGUUCUCAGUGUUGUACAUAACAGCUCUGGCAACAAAACCGCCCUUCAGCCCACGUGUGCUCCAUGCUGUUGGAUUUCGUUUGCUUGAUUGCUGACCCGGCUAAUUGUUAAUGUGCUUCCUCCAAAUAAGCGAGAGUUUGAUCGUCUUUAAUUGUUGGUCCGGUGUAUUGUCUGCAUUGCCACGACUCCGAAUAUAGCCCUGUGUGCUUCGUAGAUAACCAUCACACCAGGACAGCCACGCAGAAAUGUCAUUCUGGGGGGGGGGGGGGAGCCGGAUUUGGCAAGGGAAGGCAAAUUAAAAAUGUACCCAGUUGAUUAAAAAGCAAAAAAAAAAAAAAAAAAAAGGGAGCGAUGUAAUGAUGGCUGACAGCAAAAGAUCCGAAAAAAAUAAUAGCAUGUAUUUAUUCCCAUAAUCAUCCGACUGCAGGCUGCUCAUCUUUAUUCAUAGCCCUUCAAAGCCACGCUCGGAGAUGCUGAGGAAGCCGUGCGUCGUGCGGUGCUUGAGACGCCAAACACGUCUGAGCUCCUCCUGCUGUCUGCAGCCCUCCUCCCUCCCCAUGUCAGUGUGUUUGACGGCGAGGGGAGCUUUGCCACGGGGGCCCCUCCAGGUGGAUUUGUAGGGCAGGGCUGCAGGGUGCUGUAGGCAGCACUGGGGUGAUGUUCAUGGAUAACAGCCGAAAAGGGCACAGAUGUUUUCCAAGAUGCGUUUCAGUGCUGCUGUGGUCACUGAAUUCUUCUGAAAUUGAAGAAUAGGGUUUUUUCUCCUCUGUACACCCUUGGAAGGCUGCGUGCCCCCCUCUCUUGCUGCUCCUGUUGCACAGAUCUGUAAUGUGGUGGUUUGGCCCACUUCUGAUGUGGGGAAAUCGCCCUUUGUCGUCACCUUUUUUACUUUUCAAAGAUGCCAUCAUCAGUGCAUCUUCCAAAGGAAUGGGCUGAGAUCUGCUCUCCUCCUCUGCUGUUUUCCAGACCUUUGUCUCUGAGCACAGCGAGGCCAGGCCAGCAGCAGUGCCAUUCCAGAGAGUGUUUUGGGGCAGGACGACUUACCUGGCUCUAGAAAAGCCAUUGACUUACCUGAGCCUUUGUGCUAUUAAGAGGAGAAGUAGCAGUGGCAUGGAGUUGUGGCCCAGUGCCUGAAAUGGGACAGUUUUAGUCAAAAUGGUGUGUGUUUGCUACCACCCACCUGCCAUUGGUGUAUGGGAAAUGGGACUUGGCCAUUGGUUUGAGUGCCAACAGAGAGAUGUUGGUGUGUGGGGAGGAAAACUGCUGGUGUGGAGGGAGGAGUGUUCUCAUGGCCAAACUGAGCUCCUCCCAAGGAGAAUGGGCUCUUCCUUCAGGACCUGAGGUCCCGAAGCUUUGCAAGAGGGGAACACCGCAACCUGACCGAGCACCCACCUCUCACACAGGAGGUCUGAAUUUCUUCUUUCCCCAUCAUUUACUAUGCAAUUUGUUGCCGUGAUUCCUUCCUGGCUGGAUAUAGCAUUGAUGUUGCUUUCCAUGUCAUCAGGCAGUGCUUUGGCUGGUGAUGAGAAGUCCCUGGGACUCUCUCAGCAGCAACACACACGGAGAUAUUCCAGCAGUGCCAUCCUGCCUCCCGAAACCCAACACUCCAACCUGACAACCCAACAGCCUUCUCUGCACGGAGGCUGAAUCCGGAGCAGCCAGGCUCUGCAGAAACAGCUCCAUUUGUGGCUGCGGAUGCAAAGCUCAGCAUCGUUGCUCUGCUUUCCUUUUCAUUUCGGUUUGCCCAGUGAGCUGUGUUGCCCACGUUUCAAUUUGUUCCAUUGGUGCUGGUCUGAUGCUCAAACAAACACCCCGUCGUCCUGGUGACCCUCACUGUGCUGUGGGCUGCAUACUCAGCUCCACACACGGGUGGGUUUUUGGGUUUUCGUUUUCUGGUUGUGUGGAUUUUUUUUUUACCUGAUGUCAAACUUAUUUUUUAAAUUUUUUUUUCAUUAGGACUCAAAACUGUUCUUUCAUACGCAAAGUUCAAUAAAACGGCUGAAACACA